AGCAGUCGCGCGGUAAUACGAAGGGUGCAAGCGUUACUCGGAAUUACUGGGCGUAAAGCGUGCGUAGGUGGUGGUUUAAGUCCGUUGUGAAAGCCCUGGGCUCAACCUGGGAAUUGCAGUGGAUACUGGGUCACUAGAGUGUGGUAGAGGAUAGUGGAAUUUCCGGUGUAGCAGUGAAAUGCGUAGAGAUCGGAAGGAACAUCUGUGGCGAAGGCGACUAUCUGGGCCAACACUGACACUGAGGCACGAAAGCGUGGGGAGCAAACAGGAUUAGAUACCCGGGUAGUCCCUGUCUCUUAUACA
rnacentral:rRNA from 1 species